UAACAUGGGUAUCGGCCCAAAGUGCACUCCUAGUCCAGUCUCCCAAGAGACACUGUCUGACAUGAAAUAUCACCUCUAAUAACCUCAUUAUCACACUUAUUUCUAAUUAUCAAAUUUAUAAAGUUCAGCAAAAGCUACUAGUGCCAUGGACUCAGUAUCGAUCAAAAUCAAACAUCCAAUAAUGCUUCCCUGUUUUUCAUCAGAGCUUUUCUAACUGCACUCAUGAUUGGUGUGACCAGAAUGCACGUCAAUAGCAGGUGUGAACCAACCCGCAGGGAGACAAAUGAACGAGGUGCAUCGGCUGAAUGUGAUGCAGGUGGCUUUGAACUCUCCACACUGAGAUUCUCACAGCCCUAGCUAAACUCCACGUCACUGCACAAACAGGAGCAUGUAGGGAGAUCCUGCAGACAGAUUGAAUGACUAUUCAGACGUUGCUAACAGGUGGCAUGCUGCUUUAUUAGUCAGCUAAUUACUAACCAGUCAUAUUAGUGAGUCGGACUUUGUUCUUUCCUUCUCUGGUUCUUCUUGUAAUGCGUUGUGGGAAACCUGUUACAGUCUAUCUGGGCUCAUUGUAACAUUUGGCAAAUUUUUAUUCCUGACUACCACAUUUGAAGUCAUUCAGGGGAAAUGUGAUUAAUGAUUUUGGCAUUUCAAACUGCCUCUGAUAAUUACCUCUGCUGAUUGAUGACUGUUUGUAAGAGCACAUGCUGUUCACUGUGAUUUUCUGCUUUAGCUCUUGUCCUAAAUGUAUUAUUGAAUAUUAGACCCGGGAGGAUGAAUGACAGACGGGUCAAAGAGAUGUUUCUUCAUCCCACAGAUGACAGGACACAGCUGUUAUCUGGUGCUUUAGUGUCAGGGGAAAGAUAGUGUGAAAAAAAGCAGAUGGAACAGCACUCUGUCCAUCGGGAUGUUGUGUUUUUUAUCUUUCCAGCCAUUGACUCCUUUAUUUUUCUCUCUCCGUGUAUUCUUGCUUCAUUUCUUGACUUAAAAAUACCCUGUCAGCUUUUAUUUGACUUAUUUUUCAGUCCAGUGGCGUUUCAAAGACAGACUACAACUUAUUGGCUGUAGGGAUCUUUUCAUGGAAGAGAAAAGCAAAGCCUUUACUUCACCAUUAAUAUCGAAUAAUAUUAUUUCAUUAUUACCUCAAACAUGUUGACAGGUGUGUGCAUAAAGCCAUUUUAUGCCUUAAACAUAUUUGAGCUUAUCCUGAUAAUUAUUACAGAUUCAUUUGACAGCAGGGUUGAAAGUAAUAUCAGGCAUAUUAUCUAAUUUAAAAGCACCGAUCAUAUUAUGGCACAAUUAUUUUAAAGGUGUGGAACUCUAAAAAAAAUCAUUUUUUAUGAUUAUUUCUGGUUAUAAUCAGCCUUUCUGAGUUUUAAAUGCAGGCUGAACAUGAAAAUAGUCUCCUACACCUAUGUCCUGCAUUAGCUUCUGAUAGAAAAUAAACGGUGCGACUCGAGGAUUUAAAAAGUCUGACAGAUCUACGUCACAGAACCAAAUGUUUCUAUAUGUGAUUGCUGCUCUCAGCAUCAACAUUAAUAUAUGGACAAUGGGUUUCCAUAGGCUCCAAUAUCACUUUUUCGAGGCCAAAUGGGAGGUGGCCACCACCGCCAUUUUGACCAUGUCACAGGUUCCGUCAAGCCCAGACAAUUCCAUAAAGGGGAAGAGAGGAGGAGCUGAGGGUGGGGCUGUAAGGCUGGGAUCAACUGACGACACCCGGUCGAACUAGCUACAAGCUAACCUGAAGCUAACCCUGGCUACCCCAAAGCUAACGCGGAGGUGGGAGCUAAGCUAAUGGAGGUAGCAACCUAGCUACAGCCGGAGUUAACUGUGCACAACACCAGAGCUUCUGAGUCAGAGAUACGCCGGGCUGACCGCUGGGUAAAACCGGGUGGAACACAGAGGUCUCCGAGAGCUCCACAAGCCGGCAGCCGCACAGCAGACAAGCGCUGCUGCGAUCUGAGAUGCACAGAUCUGCCGCUGGGGAGAACCGGGUAGACAGGUUUCCAUCCCAGAGCUCCACAAGCCGACAGCCCACGCAGCAGUCAGGAGCCGCGAUCAGACAGAGAUGCGCCGAACUGCAGGGAGAAACAACCAGCAUUCCGCACAGCAAACAGAAGCUGCGAAGCCAGGGGAGAAACGGGUGGAAAACAUCGGUCUCCCGAGCUCCACAAGCCGAUAGUCGGAACCCAGCUCCACCAACAUGUUAUAUUUCAACCCAUUUUCUAAAGUCUAGCAUUAUGUUAAAUGCACUGGGUUUUACCCUAUUACAUUUAAAUUUCAUGGUUAAACAGUACAUGUUAAAAUCUAAGCUAAGCUCGGCAGUGACCUAAAAUACAUAAAUAUAAUUUUACUUACCAAAAUAAAAAUGAAGUGGAGACUCCUUGGAGGCUCUGUUGGUGCAAUUAAUGCCACAGCAAGUCAUUUUGUCCAACAAUUGCACUAAAAAUAUCCAAAAAAGAAUACACAAACACGGAGACUCAAAAUCCCGGAACAGUUUCCAAGCCAGACUGAGGCUCUACUGAGGCCUUUCCCCGGUGCUAGCUCUAUGGUCACGUGGGUCUGAUGCUCAUUAAUUAUACAGAAUUUUAGGCUUUUAAUACACUUAAACAGAAGAGUGAGAAAAAAAUUCACCCCCCUCAGAGUUGUCAUGAGUGUAAACUAGAUAAUUUAAACCAAAAACAUGUUUUGAUACCAGGCCGUAAACAUGUUUAUUUCUGCUGUGAAAUUGGUAUUUUUAACAUGGGAGUCAAUGAGGAUUUGCUCGCUUCUGACACCAGCCCCCAGCGGAUGAGGGUGGAACUGCAAUGUUUGGUACUUCCAUGGUUGACUCAAUUUUAGAGCUCCAUUGUGGGGGCUUGGCUCUCAGAAGUGUUCUGAUGAUGUCCUUUUGAUGUGAUUGCAGCAACAGCAAUCACAUGUUGUAGCUGCCCCAGUUAGUCAGAGAAUCAGUCUGUCAAACAGAGGUUUUGACUGAAUUAAUAAAAGAUGUUUUAGAUUUUCUUUUUCCUAAUGGGAACAGAGACCUGUCACUCCAAGCUCCCACAACCUCAAUGUGUCUUUGUUAUCAUCGGUGCUCCCACCAGAACCUGGAGGCUAAGGCUCAGCCAUUGUUUACUGCUAUGUUUUCAAAAUUUUGGUUUAAAGCGUCACAGAUUCCAGCUUGUGAAAAUUAGGCUUUGAUGAGAUGGGGAUCUCAUUUAUCUGGGAAAGAGUAAGAUCAAAGACAUGCUUCAGUAAGAUACAAGAUUACAAUGUUUUGCAUUUCUAAAAAUAACCAAUUGGCAGGAAAAGUUCUUUCCUUAUUGAUGAAGCAAAUUUCUGCAUCAACCUACACAUUUCUUCUACACUCUAAAUGAAAUGUUGAGUUUAUUUAAAGCUGCAAUGGCAAAAUAAAAAUGUUUGCUUAAAACAUUUUUUCCAUGACUCUUAACACCAUUCUAUCAUAGUAUACCUAUAAAUAUAUUGUGGAGAUUAAAAAUAAGCUAAAUUAUGAAACCAUUAAUAAAGUUGUUCUCUUACAUUAAUCCAAAAACCUCCGUCACUGAAUGCCUCAUCGCUGGAGCUGGUGCUAGCUGCACAGCUUUUUUCUGUCUGUUCCUACUUUUCAAUCUGCUAAAAUAUGACAGUGACCUUCAUUAUUAUCCUGUGGAAGUUAUAAAAUCUGUCUAUUAGUUUAAGACGUUUCACAUAUACUGACACAUUGCUUCUUCAGACCACACACACACACACACACACACACACACACACACACACACACACACACACACACACACACACACACACACACACACACACACACACA